rnacentral:tRNA from 1 species
GUUAAGAGAGCCGAGCGGUUCAAGGUGUAGCAUUGGAACUGGCAUGUAGACUUUUGUUUACCGAGGGUUCGAAUCCCUCUCUUUUCG